UGUGGGGAAAGGUCUACACCAGGAGGCGCCGGGCCAGGGACGUUAGGCGGGCUGCUGAACGCGCAGCCAAGGGCGCGGCGUCUGGGGACGCUGGGCGCGCGCAGGACCCUGGCCCAGGCGCGGCUGGUGGUUAGGAGGUUAGGAUAGAAGGAAAGAUAUUGUUAGUUUCCUUCCCUAUUAUCUGUCCCAUGAUUCUAGGAGUUUGUUACUCGUUUUAGUUGGGACUAUGGCUUUAUAAGCCUUGUAAUCAGAUUGCACAAGGCAAGCAAGAACAAUUAUCUCCUCUCUCUCUCUUUCACCUAAGCCUGCGGUAGAGGGGUAUAACCUCACCGGAGAAGACGGCCGACGGCUACGAACUACGUAGCCGCGGUCCAGCCAGUCAAGGGUUUGACGCCCUUGACAACCUGGUAUCAGGAUUCCGGCGAUCCUCCCCUGCCCAGUCCGCCCAGUCUUCCACUGCCGCCGGCCAGCCAAACCCUACCCCGCCCACAUCCCCCACCUCAGCUGCAUCUGUCCACCAGUCACCAGCCAUGGCCGAGCCCACCCUUGCCGACGUCCUGGCGUCCCUCAAGACCCUGUCCACCGAGAUGUCCACCAUGAAGGCCGAUCUGGCCGCGAUGAAGGAGAAGUCCGCGUCGUCUUCCGACAGCGCCGGCGGUCGCAAGCCGGAGGAGCCGCGCGACAACGACUUCCCCCCCAAGCCCAAGAAGUGGGACUUCCCCCGCUACGACGGCACGACUGACCCGCUGCUCUUCCUCAACAAGUGCGAAUCUUACUUUCGCCAUCACCGGACCAUGGCGGAGGAACGGGUCUGGAUGGCCUCGUACCAUCUGGACGAAGUGGCACAGCUGUGGUACACGCAGCUUCUGGAGGAUGAGGGCGCUCCUCCAUGGGGGCGCUUCAAGGAGCUCCUGCAUCUACGCUUCGGGCCUCCCCUCCGCUCGGCUCCACUGUUCGAACUCGCCGAAUGCCGGCGGACCGGGACGGUCGAGGACUACGCUAAUCGCUUCCAGGGCCUACUGCCGCGCGCAGGCCGCCUGGACGAAGCGCAGCGAGUCCAACUCUUCACGGGUGGUCUUCUUCCACCCCUCAGCCACGCCGUCCGCAUCCACAACCCGGAGACCCUAGCCGCUGCGAUGAGUUUGGCUCGCCAAGUCGAACUCAUGGAGGCCGAACGCCCCGUGCAGCCGCCGCCCCGGGCACCGCCCCGCGCAGCCCUCCCAGCGCCUCCACCGCUGCUGGCGCUGCCUGCACCCCCUGCAGCCGCCCAGCAGGGCCGCGGCGCGGGAAAUCAACGCCGUCUGACUCCGGAAGAGAUGGCUGAACGGCGUCGCCAGGGGCUGUGUUUUAAUUGCAAUGAAAAAUACUCUCGUGGCCACAAUAGAUUUUGCAGGCGCAUCUUCUUUAUCGACGGCGUCGAGAUCGACGACGCGGACGGUGCCGGGGCAGCGGCCGAGGCCGCGGAGACGGAGGCGCCCGUCUUCUCUCUCCACGCAGUGGCUGGCGUGGCCGUGGGCAAGACCAUGCAGCUCCGCGUGGGAGUGGGCGUGACGUCUCUGAUCGCGCUCCUCGACACCGGUUCCACCCACAACUUCAUCGGGGAAGAAGCUGCGCGACGUUCGGGGCUGCCUAUCUAGCCGCGCCCAAGGCUGAUAGCCACUGUCGCCAAUGGUGACAAGGUGCCCUGCCCCGGUGUGCUUUGUCAGGCCCCCCUCGUCAUCGGCGAUCUCUCUUUCACCGCGGACCUGUUCGUCAUGCCCCUUGCUGGGUACGACCUGGUGCUCGGGGGACAGUGGAUGGAAUCCCUGGGCCGCCUCACGUGGGACUUCCCCGCGGGCACAGUGACGUUCACGCACCAGGGCCAGCCGACCUGCUGGACCGGGGUGCCCCUGCAGGAGAUGGGGGAGCCCUGCGCGACCACCACAGCAGCGCCCCUCCUCGACGAGCUCCUCGCUGGCUUCGGGGAUGUGUUCACAGCACCCAGCGGACUGCCACCCCAGCGCUCCCGCGACCACGCCAUCGUCCUCAAGCCCGACGCACAGCCGGUAGCAGUUCGCCCCUACCGCUACCUGGCUGCCCACAAGGACGAGCUGGAGCGGCAGUGCACUGCUAUGAUCGAGCAGGGCAUCGUCCGUCGCAGCGACUCGGCGUUCUCCUCCCCGGUCCUCCUCGUCAAAAAGGCGGAUGGUGCGUGGCGUUUCUGCGUCGACUACCGGGCAUUGAACGCGCUCACCGUCAAGGACGCGUUCCCGAUUCCCGUCGUCGACGAGCUGCUCGACGAGCUCCACGGCGCGCGUUUCUUCACCAAGCUGGACCUCCGAUCAGGGUACCACCAAGUCCGCAUGCGCCCCGCCGACAUCCACAAGACGGCGUUCCGGACUCACGAUGGGCUCUACGAGUUCCCGGUGAUGCCGUUCGGGCUGUGCAACGCGCCGGCGACGUUCCAGGCGCUCAUGAACGACGUCUUGCGGCCCUUCCUGCGACGGUUCGUCCUGGUAUUUUUUGAUGACAUUCUUAUCUACAGCGGGUCGUGGGCGGAGCAUCUGCGUCAUCUCCGGGUCGUGCUCGCUGAACUUCGGCGCCAUCAGCUUUUCGUCAAGCGCAGCAAGUGCGCGUUCGGCGAAACGUCGGUCUCCUACCUCGGCCACAUUAUUUCUGCAUCCGGCGUCGCCAUGGACCCAAGGUGCAGGCCAUCCGCGACUGGCCUGCCCCACGGUCCGCUCGCGCUGUGCGGGGCUUCCUCGGCUUGGCGGGCUACUACCGCAAAUUCGUCCACAACUACGGCGCCAUCGCUGCCCCACUCACCGCUCUCCUCAAGAAGGAGGGGUUCUCCUGGAGCGAUGACGCCGCUGCGGCAUUUGACGCCCUCAAGUCCGCUGUAUCUUCAGCACCCGUCCUCGCCAUGCCGGACUUCGCCAAGCCCUUCACCGUCGAGUGUGAUGCAUCCUCCCACGGUUUCGGUGCUGUCCUCAUCCAGGAGGGUCACCCGAUUGCUUUUUUCAGCAGGCCGAUCGCCCCUCGACAUCGCGCGCUCGCUGCAUAUGAGCGCGAACUCAUCGGCCUGGUUCAAGCUGUACGGCACUGGCGGCCGUACCUUUGGGGCCGUCGCUUCCUGGUGAAGACGGACCACUACAGCCUGAAGUUCUUACUGGACCAGCGGCUCUCGACGAUUCCCCAGCACCAUUGGGUGGGGAAGCUGCUGGGCUUCGAUUUCACAGUGGAGUACAAGCCGGGCGCAGCAAACACGGUCGCCGACGCGCUCUCCCGCCGGGACACAGUCGACAGCGAGGGCAGCACCAUCCUCGCCCUCUCCGCCCCGAGGUUCGACUUCGUCACGCGCCUCCGGCACGCUCAUGGCACUGAUCCGGCGUUGGGGGCACUGCUCCAGGAGCUCGCCAGCGGCGCACGCGGUGCUCCCUGGUCCCUGGUGGACGGCCUGGUCCAGUACAAGGGCCGGCUCUACAUCCCGCCCGACUCAGCCCUGGUUCGGGAGAUCGUGCAGGCCGUGCACGAGGACGGACACGAGGGCGUGCAGCGGACGCUUCAUCGACUACGCCGCGACUUUCAUUUUCCUAAUAUGAAACAGUUCGUGCAGGAUUUCAUCAAAGUGUGUGGUGUCUGCCAACGUUAUAAGGCUGAGCACUUGCAUCCGGCAGGCCUGCUCAUGCCGCUGCCUGUUCCCCAAGGCGUUUGGACCGACAUCGCUUUGGACUUCGUUGAGGCGCUGCCCAAGGUGCGUGGCAAGUCCGUCAUCUUGACGGUCGUGGACAGGUUCAGCAAAUACUGUCAUUUCAUCCCCCUGGCGCACCCGUACUCCGCGGAGUCUGUAGCAGCAGCUUUCUUCGCCGACAUUGUUCGUCUACACGGCGUUCCCCAGUCCAUGGUGUCGGAUCGCGAUCCGGUCUUCACUUCCACGUUUUGGCGGGAGCUCAUGCGCUUGAUGGGCACAAAGCUGCACAUGACGACGGCGUUCCAUCCCCAGUCCGAUGGCCAGUCGGAGGCGGCUAAUCGGGUCAUUAUUAUGUACCUUCGCUGUUUGACAGGUGACAGACCGCGGCAAUGGCUUCGGUGGCUUCCUUGGGCAGAAUUCGUCUUUAACACUGCCUAUCAGACGUCGCUGCGGGACACCCCGUUCCGUGUCGUGUACGGCCGCGACCCGCCAUCACUUCGCUCCUACGAGCCCGGCGAGACGCGGGUGGCUGCUGUGGCCCGCAGCAUGGAGGAGCGUGAUGAGUUCCUGGCGGACAUUCGUGCUCGGCUGCAGCAAGCUCAGCAAGUCCAGAAGCACCACUAUGAUGCAGGCCACCGUCCAGUAACCUAUCAAGUGGGCGACUGGGCUCUCCUUCGACUGCGCCAACGCCCCGCUGCCUCCCUGCCCCAAGCGUCGACGGGCAAGCUCAAGCCCCGUUACUUCGGGCCGUACCGCGUCUCCGAGCUGAUCAACGACGUUGCCGUCCGCCUCGACUUGCCCGCGGGAGCACGACUGCAUGACGUGUUUCACGUCGGCCUGCUCAAGAAAUUCCAGGGGACUCCACCAGCUGCGCCUCCACCUCUGCCAGCGGUGCACCAUGGCGCGCUUGCUCCCGAACCAGCUCGGGCUGUGCGUUUUCGCCUGGCUCGGGGCGUCCGCCAGGUGUUGAUCCAGUGGAAAGGCGAGUCUGCGGCAUCCUCUACUUGGGAAGAUGUCGACGCGUUCCGCGGCAAGUACCCCUCUUUCCAGCUCGAGGACGAGCUGAGCUUCGAUGGAGGGGGAGAUGUCAUGUGGGGAAAGGUCUACACCAGGAGGCGCCGGGCCAGGGACGUUAGGCGGGCUGCUGAACGCGCAGCCAAGGGCGCGGCGUCUGGGGACGCUGGGCGCGCGCAGGACCCUGGCCCAGGCGCGGCUGGUGGUUAGGAGGUUAGGAUAGAAGGAAAGAUAUUGUUAGUUUCCUUCCCUAUUAUCUGUCCCAUGAUUCUAGGAGUUUGUUACUCGUUUUAGUUGGGACUAUGGCUUUAUAAGCCUUGUAAUCAGAUUGCACAAGGCAAGCAAGAACAAUUAUCUCCUCUCUCUCUCUUUCACCUAAGCCUGCGGUAGAGGGGUAUAACCUCACCGGAGAAGACGGCCGACGGCUACGAACUACGUAGCUGCGGUCCAGCCAGUCAAGGGUUUGACGCCCUUGACAGCAUGGGUUAGCAGCUUAAGUUCACCUUCUAUAGGAAACACGAAAUGUUAUUACAAUAACCAGAUAGAUCCAAAAUAGAACCAGUACUUAUGUCAACUGCACUAGUUGAUUUCUGUUCCCUAAUAAUGGGCAGCAAAAAAUAAAAAUAAAGAAAAUAAAAUAAGGCAUUGCAUAUCAAUAUGUCGAACUUCAGGUAAAAUAACAUUGUUCUUCUGUCAGUGGCCUGUCUUAAUGUUGUACUACCUACUUACUGUUGCUGUGUGGGUAUUGUGGUAUAUUGGUAUUAUUAAUUAUUUGAACUUCUGAUAUAAUGCUACAAGGUUUAUAUUGAUGAAUUGAGAAGCGUAAGGUACAGCAGAAAGCUAGAAACACAGGCGAGGAAUAGAAUUCCUGACUAAUUCCUGUUUCCAUGCAUUGUAGGCACUGAUCACUGAGAUGAUCUAGAUAAGGAACAAUCAUAACGAGUACUGAGAUUGAUUAGUAAUCAGAUUAAAAGAACCUAGAUACAGGACUGAAUGAUAAGAUGUUUCAACGGU
rnacentral:lncRNA from 1 species